rnacentral:misc_RNA from 1 species
AACAUCGCGCACCUGCGGGAACCUGCGGAAGGAUCAUUACAGAGUUGCAAAACUCCCUAAACCAUUGUGAACCUACCUUCUACCGUUGCUUCGGCGGGCGGGCCUAGCGCCCCCCCGGCCCCCCGCGGGCGCCCGCCGGAGGAUAACCAAACUCUUGACAUCAGUGGCCUCUCUGAGUAUUCUUUACUGAAUAAGUCAAAACUUUUAACAACGGAUCU